rnacentral:rRNA from 1 species
GACGAACGCUGGCGGCGUGCCUAAUACAUGCAAGUAGAACGCCGUUGCGAACGGGUGAGUAACGCGUAGGUAACCUGCCUCAUAGCGGGGGAUAACUAUUGGAAACGAUAGCUAAUACCGCAUACUGUGAGAUGGACCUGCGUUGUAUUAGCUAGUUGGUGAGGUAAAGGCUCACCAAGGCGACGAUACAUAGCCGACCUGAGAGGGUGAUCGGCAACACGGGGACUGGGAAACGGUCCAGACGCUUACGGAAGGCAGCAGUGGGGAAUAUUGCAAAAUGGGCGCAAGCCUGAUGCAGCCAUGCCGCGGGUAUGAAGAAGGCCUUCGGGUUGUAAAGUACUUUCAGCGGGGAGGCGUUACCCGCAGAAGAAGCACCGGCUAACUCCGUGCCAGCCGCCGCGGUAAUUC